rnacentral:rRNA from 1 species
UACAGAGGUGGCAAGCGUUGUUCGGAAUUACUGGGCGUAAAGCGUGCGCAGGCGGUUUUGUAAGUCUGUCGUGAAAGCCCCGGGCUCAACCUGGGAAUUGCGAUGGAGACUGCAAGGCUUGAAUCUGGCAGAGGGGGGUAGAAUUCCACGUGUAGCAGUGAAAUGCGUAGAGAUGUGGAGGAACACCGAUGGCGAAGGCAGCCCCCUGGGUCAAGAUUGACGCUCAUGCACGAAAGCGUGGGGAGCAAACAGG